rnacentral:rRNA from 1 species
GACGAACGCUGGCGGCGUGCUUAACACAUGCAAGUCGAACGGACAGACAGAGAGCUUGCUCUCUUGAAGUUAGUGGCGAACGGGUGAGUAACGCGUAAUCAACCUGCCCUUCAGAGGGGGAUAACAACGGGAAACCGUUGCUAAUACCGCGUACGAUUCAUGAACGGCAUCGUUUAUGAAUGAAAGGUGGCCUCUAUGUAUAAGCUAUCGCUGAAGGAGGGGAUUGCGUCUGAUUAGCUAGUUGGAGGGGUAACGGCCCACCAAGGCAAUGAUCAGGAGCCGGUCUGAGAGGAUGAACGGCCACAUUGGAACUUAGACACGGCCCAAACGCCUACGGGAGGCAGCAGUGGGGAAUCUUCCGCAAUGGACGAAAGUCUGACGGAGCAACGCCGCGUGAGUGAUGAAGGUCUUCGGAUUGUAAAGCUCUGUUAAUCGGGACGAAAGAGUUCUGCGUGAAUAAUGCAGAAAGGUAACGGUACCAGAAUAGAAAGCCACGGCUAACUACGUGCCAGCCGCCGCCGUAA